AAUCAACGCUGGCGGCAUGCCUAACACAUGCAAGUCGAACGGGAAAGUGGGAGCAAUCCCAUGAGUAUAGUGGCGCACGGGUGAGUAACACGUGACUAACCUACCCUCGAGUGGGGAAUAACCCCGGGAACCGGGGCUAACACCGCAUAAUACCGCAAGGUCAAAUGCGCAAGCAGCUUGAGGAGGGGGUCGCGGUUGAUUAGCUAGUUGGUAGGGUAAUGGCCUACCAAGGCAGUGAUCAAUAGCCGGCCUGAGAGGGCGCACGGCCACACUGGAACUGAAACACGGUCCAGACUCCUACGGGAGGCAGCAGUGGGGAAUAUUGGACAAUGGGCGAAAGCCUGAUCCAGCCAUGCCGCGUGAGUGAUGAAGGCCCUAGGGUUGUAAAGCUCUUCGGCGGGGAAGAUAAUGACGGUACCCGCAGAAGAACGCCCCGGCCAACUUCGUGCCA
rnacentral:rRNA from 1 species